rnacentral:sRNA from 1 species
AUCGGUUUGUAGUACAGACCUUAUGAAAGCAGUUUUAGUAAAGCAGUUCUCAGUAUUAGUGAUAUCCCAUAGAUACCUCUUCUUCCGCGAAUUUCCUUCUCUAGUGCCCAAGUAAGUUUCCAAUAAAAACAGACCUCAAUCGCCUUAUGGCGUCUCAAAAAUAUAAAGGAAAUAUCUAUGUCUACUAAAAUGACUGGUUUGGUAAAAUGGUUUGAUGCAGGUAAAGGUUUUGGCUUUAUCUCCCCGGCAGACGGCAGCAAAGACGUGUUCGUGCACUUCUCCGCUAUCCAGAGCAAUGAUUUCAAAACGCUUGAUGAAGGUCAGCGCGUUGAAUUCACUAUCGAAAACGGUCAGAAGGGUCCUUCUGCCGGCAACGUAGUAGUUUUAUAAUUUAUAGGUAGUGUUUUAUUUCUUACGAUAGCGAAGAAGGUGUAA